rnacentral:rRNA from 1 species
UACAGAGGGUGCGAGCGUUGUCCGGAAUUAUUGGGCGUAAAGAGCUCGUAGGCGGUCUGUCGCGUCGGUCGUGAAAACUUGGGGCUUAACCCUGAGCUUGCGGUCGAUACGGGCAUGACUGGAGUUCGGUAGGGGAGACUGGAAUUCCUGGUGUAGCGGUGAAAUGCGCAGAUAUCAGGAGGAACACCGGUGGCGAAGGCGGGUCUCUGGGCCGAUACUGACGCUGAGGAGCGAAAGCGUGGGGAGCGAACAGG